ACAGGCGCAAAGCGCCACGCGGCGGCGUUGUUUCCUGCCGGACGAGUUAUGUGGGGGGGCACCGGGCGACCCCGUUGCCGGGCCGGAGGUGCGGUGCUAAGAAAGUAAUUUUGAGGCCAGUCAGACUAUGGCCUUUGAAAGGAUAACACAAAAGGACUGGUACAAAAUCCUCGGUGCAAAGCCAUCGGACAGUCUAGCAGAACUAAAACGGAAGUACCAAAAACUUGCUUUAUUAUAUCAUCCAGACAAACAGAAGGCAGAUGUGCCAGCAGGAGAAGUGGAGGAGCGUGUGCAGAGGUUCAUCGAAAUUGAUCAAGCGUGGAAAAUUCUAGGGAAUGAAGAGACAAAAAAAGAGUAUGACCUGCAGCAGCGGGAAGGUAAUCUGACAAAAGAAUGGCCACUACAUGCACAAAUUUGUCUUGAGGAUAUGUCCUGGACUGAAGAUGAACAAUGUUAUACUCUCUCAUGUCGAUGUGGUGGGAAUUACACUGUCUUGAAGAGUGAAAUCAAAGAUGUAUCUUUCGUUUGUUGUGACACAUGCUCACUUGUUAUUGAGAUCCUUCAGUGAUUGUUUCAAUCAAGCACAAUAAGAGUUACAAACUUUUAAAAAGACUGGACAAACAGGGAACAGCAUCUGCUAAAGGAAUAUAUAUUGAAGAAAAGAGGGGCAGUACAAGAUCAAGUUCAGUCAGGCUCAAGAAAGGAAAUGUGCCCAUUUGCUAACACAGUGCUGCAGACAUCAGGCUUGGUUUUUUUCCUUCCAAAGGAGUAAUAAAUACUAAAUGUCAGGAGGAAUCAUCAUUCCAUAGUGGCUGGAGACAGCACUAAUUUAUACACAGCCUGCUUUGCUACAGGAAGCCUCAUGAAUUGCAUUAUUUUUUCAGCCUUGGAGAUAAAUACAUUCCUAGAAAAUAUCUUUCAAAUUCAAGAGACAAAAGUAUGUAUUUUUGGUCCAUCUAGGAGAAGAAAGAAUACCAUGAACAUUACGUCCCAGUGAAAGUAGUUCUGUGAGGUGUACGUUUGUAUUUUCAAGAUGGACAUUUGAAUUGCAAACACCAAACACUGGAGGAAAAUUCUAUAGGCUUAGAGGUAAGCUUAUACAGUGUCAAUAGGUAUAAAGGGGUGGAGUGCCUGCCACUGUCAGGGGCUCUCAAGCAAGGUGCUCCUCUGAGAAGGGGCCUACUAUGUAGAAAAAGGAGGAGCACAAAUCAUGACCAAGUACAAGCACAAGUGUCAGGGAAUGAUGCUCACCAGUAAGAAAAAAACUUCCUCUCCAGAAAUUAGCUAUAUAGCUGUUCAUACGACUGAAUGCUCCCAGGAGUACUUUCCUCUGAACAUUCACUAAUUACAUGUAGACUGGUCUUGAAUGCAAAAAAAAAAAUAAUAAUAGGGAAUCAAGGACAUUCUUUUACACUUUGUCCUUUGCCUCCCUUGACUGCGUGUGUACCUUUGCAACACGUUCUUUCAAAGAUGGCACAAGGGGAUCAGCAGGAAGAGGGGAAAGAGAUGGUGCUGAAGAAUGAAUGCCCUCUGUGGCUCUAAUCACAUAAAAAUCUUACAGGCCCUGCUCAAGAUGAAGCAACCUAGACAGAGAAAGAUGAUGCACUACCUUGUUCCCAAAGCAUCUGUCAGUAUGAUGUUUAUCUUGUUCAUUUUUCCUUAGAAUGUGAUCUUAAGGAAGGUAUGAAGUCACCCUCCAGAACAGCAACUUAAUCUUUAACUGAGUUCCUGGGACAGCCACAGCACAGAAGGAACCUUUGGUGCUUUCUUGAGUCCUAAAGUACUUCCUCAAUAUGUAAUAUCUGUGUGUAAAUUCCUUUCAUUUUACAGUUUACUGCUUGCUCAAUUUAGGGUUCAGUCCUGUCACUUCAUUAAAGUAUCUCAAACGUCUUUCUUGUUGGGGUACAAGCUGGACACAAAUCUAUUGCUGUAGAGAGAUACUGUGAAUAAUUUAUUGAUGUCCACAUUCAUAGGUUCUUAAUAUCUACAUUAUUUGCUAACAGUCACCUUGAAGUACUAAACAGCAAUUUUUCUAUAUUAAUACAUCAGUUGGAGAAAGUUUUUUUCAGUUGGAUUAUGAAUACCACAUUCUUAUAAAGAGGGCUGUCAGUAUAUUAGCAUCAUUUGUAUUUUAGCAGUUAAUAAUCCAAGCUAAAACUUGGGACAUAAAAAUAGCCCUAUUUAGAAUCAGCAUUUUUUCAUCUGUUAAGGCAAACAAUAGAGAGAAGUAAAUGAGAGCACUCAGUAAACACUAGGGAAGAACUCAAAACAAAUGCUAUCUAGAAAAAACAGGGGUCAGACAAAACUUGGUGGUGGGGCUGAGGGGGAUGUGUUAUUUGAGGUUUAGUAAACAAUUUGUGAUUAGGGACAAUAGCUGCAAGGUCUUCUGAAAAGUCCAAGUUGUGUUCAUAAAAACUGUAAAUUAAGUAUGUAAAACUUUGUUAAGGUGGAAAGAUCUAAUCUUCCCUCUGUGUAAUACAGCUGUGCUAAGUUAUAUUUUUGUGGGUGUGUUGCAAUAUAUGGAGAACAGUUUUCAAAAACUUUUUUUAUUGUUCUAAAUGGCACCAUUUUAAAUCUAGCUUUCUAAAAGCUGGUGCAUAAGUCUAUAAUACAUACCCCCUUGUGUCUUAGAUUAAACUUUUUAUGGAAA